UCUGAGCAAACAUCAAAGCCGACGUCUCUGCACAGCUGUGUGCCCUCGCCGUCGCGGCCCAACUGGAAUCGGCGAUGAUGAUGAAAUCCCGCGACGGAAGACAUCAGAAAUCGGCCUUGCCAUCCCAACACGGAUCCUGCUGAAAAGGGGUGGUGAGGCAAAAAAACUCAAAUCAAUAGAAUGGGACGCAGAUCUAAGCCCGGCGGGCGGUCAAUAAGAAGACGCACGCAUGGCACUCAACACGAAUGGAGCACAUCUCGCUGGUGAUGAACAAUAACUAGAAGAAAAGCAAAGUACAGGAUGUGAUCCAGCCUCACCGACGGAAACAAUGGAGAAAAUGAUUUCCCUCGGCCAGAUCCAUGGACGAGGACCGCGUCCUCUGCAGAUCCGGUGUUGCGCAGGCUCGAGGUGAUCUGGCCGCCGGAGUGGAAGAUGACGCGGGAUCCGGGUGGUUUGGCCGCCGGAAUGGAAGAGGACGAGUGCUCCGGCCAUCGCUUCGGUCGCACGCGCAUUGUUGGAGCUGAGGUAGGGUGUGGCGGAGCCAUGAGCAGACGAGAGGUAGCUGGCGACGGGAAUAAUGGAAGAG
rnacentral:lncRNA from 1 species